AUGUGGCAGGGAUUUAUUUGUCUCUGCCUCCAGGGAGCCGAGCUGGGGCUCUCCACUGGCUUUCCUUUGCACAGACUUCCUACAUGGCUUGGCUUCUCCAGAUACAAAGAAAUAAAAACUGCAGUGCAAGAUAAAAAGAACAAGUGUCUCAGAAAGGAGCUCCACGAUUCCAUGUCAAGUUCUCCAGUAUCUGGACUCGAUCAGAAGCACUAUUCCCUCCAAUUCCAUGCUAUGUUCUCUAGCCAAAUCAUCGCACAGAGCACUCCACAAAGCAAAGGUCCAGAGUCUCACCAGGAUUUGCCCUGCACUAUCAUCCUGAGCAGACUUGAGGCUCCUGACGCUUCCUUUUAGGAUUCUAUUCUCCUUCCCAGGACUGCUCCAUUUCCUGCACUGCAUGUUCUGGGCAGUGAACCUUUGUGAUGAGAGGUUUGGACUGCUUUCCACUUGCACUGGUGGGUGGGACAAAAUCGUUUGUUGGUCUAAGUCCUAAACCACUGCUGUGGUUUACUGUGGAAUUUUAAAGGUAUAUAUAUGCAAUCUUCAAAGAAGAAAAGUUUAACUUCUUAUUUUGUAAAAUAUAUCGGAUUCUGGACAAAUACUAAUUCAGAGAAGGCCUGGUUAUAUAAUCACCCCAGGCACACAUGGACUUAGCUCUCUGUUUGUGUUGAGAGUAACCAUGUCAUACAUCAGAUCAGCCCAUCUCAGCGGUGGUCUGUGUGUCCAAACCCUAUAAAACUAUAAAUUUUUGUGUUUACACAGUGGGUUGAAAAUUAAAAAACUGUAGUGCCGCGAUUGUAAAGACAAAGACGUAGAAAUCAAAUUGCUUCGAUCUAUCAUUCCAUGUAACCAUUUGGAGAUUUAAUUUUGUUUUAAAUUUCUGGACUGCAGGCACAUUUGGAAGCUGCCCGAAUCUAUCCCAAAGAAGUCAAUAGGCAGACAGCAUUGCAAUUUCUAGAUUUUAAAAGGAUUUUUAAAAUUUUCUAAAAAAAAAAAAAAUAAAAUAAAAUAAAAUAAAAUUUUCUGUCA
rnacentral:lncRNA from 12 species